UGGAGAUUAGCUUAAGAAGCAGUCGAGCAGAUUCCAAGUUCCACUUUCCUAUUGCUUCUCAGUUGACAUACAAAAUUAGACAGAGCUUGACAACAUCUAAGGCAUCCCAUGUUUCUCAUGUUAUGUUUACACCAUUUACCAUAAGAUCAUCUCUAAGAAAGAAAGUUUAUUAAUAUGAAUAUUUGGCAGAACAGCAAAACUAAAUUUCCAAGAAAAGUUCCAAGACAACAAUGAAUUCUAUGACAAAUUGAAACAAGAGUCAAAGGUAGCCCAAACGCAACAUUAUCAGUCGAUCAUCAACCUCAAUAGUUCCGUUGUAUAUUCCUAUGUUAAUGUCCUUGUUUAAAAAGGAGAGAUGCAAGGUUUGCACUCCAUCCAUAUAUCAUCGAAGCUUCAUGUUUUUUAGGGAUGAUAGAAGCCAGACCUAGCCCCCCAUUGUGACUGGGUGCAAUCUGCUGCUUGGAGCUAGUCUCUGCAGACGUGGAUCCUUCAUAUGCAAAUGUUGACAUGCCUUGCCGUUGCUUGUGCUUAGGAUUGGAACUACAAAUUACAUAUACACGACCACGGCGUUUAACAAUCUGACAAAACUCACACAUCUUCUUCACAGAUGAUCGCACCUUCAUGGCUACUGAAAAGAAUUAAACAAAAAAGGGGUCGUCAAAUGCAUACCAAAUAUGAUAUUGAAUAAGAAAGAAUGUACCAAAGCUGUUGUGAGGAGGGAAAAGAAAGGAAAUAGAAAAGAAAAAUUAGCAAACAGAAGGAUUAUAUUGUGAUGCAAUCACCUCUUUUCUACCCUAUACAUAGUUAGCUCUCCAUGUAACAAGCUAACAUUGAAAUCCCAGAAAAGGGUUUAGCAUCUUCUUUCUUCAGUUAGAGGGCAGGGCACACAUAAUCGAUUAGAGUGCAGGGCACACAUGACACAUCCCAAGCAAUCCCCGUUUCAACAGUUUUGUUAAACAAGUUGUUAGGAGUUGAUGGCGUAAAUUGAAGUUGAAAUGGUUAUCAAGUUUUGGCCAAUGAAUUAGAGGAUACUAAGAACAAACUUCUACUGUCAUUUUUCUUUUAACAAAGAAAUUCUGAAUACAAAUUAACUUAGGAAUACAUGCAAUUCUGCACCCAUGAAUAAAUUGAAUCAAUUGAGAACGGGACCAAGAACAUCACGUAUAGAAUUCUGGGACAUCUAGUUUGCCACAAUAAAAAAAAAAAUAAAGAAAUAUAAUUAUCAUAUGGCAAACAUAAACAAAGCCCAUUUUCAGAAAUUAAAUAACAGACAAAUUUAUACAUAACUAUCGAAUCCCAUCACAUGAGAUUUGUAAUGUGAACUGAAAUU
rnacentral:misc_RNA from 1 species